rnacentral:miRNA from 1 species
AGGUAUUCUCCGGUAAUGACA